CCCUCAACUUUCAUUGAUAUCUGGAAACACAAAUGCAGCGCCAUCAGUAAGCUUACGGAAGAAUAUAGUAUCAAAAAAGCGGGAUAGGGGUUGGAGUAUGCCUUGCUUUUGAUGGUUGCUAACAUAAAGUUGCUCAUAAACAGCAUUGUUUUUUAGUUGUUAAGCGUUUGAGCUCCGGAGGAAAGAAAAGGCAUAUGCUUAAGGCUCUAUCUAUAAAGACAGCAAGGCCAAUGUUCGUUUUGAGGGAAUUGAAAUCUUAUCAACGCGAGAACGGGUUGCGGCGGUGCGUUCUGGAAAUGUAGGAGUGACUUGGGAGCAGCACCAUUUGACCAGUGAAAUUGAUAAAUCCAUAAAAUCCAGAACUACCAAAGAACGCAGAAGUUUAAUUUAAUAAUACUCUAAACAUUUCCUUAAAAUGUGAAAUGGAAAACUGAAAAUAAAUGUUGCAAACGCUUU